CGUGUAGGCGGCUUGGUAAGUCAGAUGUGAAAGCCCUGGGCUCAACCCAGGAAGUGCAUUUGAAACUACCAGACUUGAGUACGGGAGAGGAAGGGGAAUUCCCGGUGUAGAGGUGAAAUUCGUAGAUAUCGGGAGGAAUACCGGUGGCGAAGGCGCCCUUCUGGACCGAUACUGACGCUGAGACGCGAAAGCGUGGGGAGCAAACA
rnacentral:rRNA from 1 species